rnacentral:tRNA from 1 species
GCCCGGCCGCGCCCCGCGCCGGGCCGGCCCUGGGCUCGCCGCCUGGGCUCGUCGCCCGGGCCGUGCCUCGGGUUCGCUGCCCGGGCCGGGCUCC